AUUGAACGCUGGCGGAAUGCUUUACACAUGCAAGUCGAACGGUAGAGGGGGCAACCCCUCGAGAGUGGCGAACGGGUGAGUAAUAUAUCGGAACGUGCCCAGUCGUGGGGGAUAACGUAGCGAAAGUUACGCUAAUACCGCAUACGAUCUACGGAUGAAAGCGGGGGAUCGCAAGACCUCGCGCGAUUGGAGCGGCGGAUAUCAGAUUAGGUAGUUGGUGGGGUAAAGGCUCACCAAGCCAACGAUCUGUAGCUGGUCUGAGAGGACGACCAGCCACACUGGAGCUGAGACACGGUCCAGACUCCUACGGGAGGCAGCAGUGGGGAAUUUUGGACAAUGGACGCAAGUCUGAUCCAGCCAUUCCGCGUGCAGGAUGAAGGCCCUCGGGUUGUAAACUGCUUUUGUACGGAACGAAAAGGUCUCUCUUAAUACGGGGGACUCAUGACGGUACCGUAAGAAUAAGCACCGGCUAACUACGUGCCAGCCGCCGCCGUAAAAC
rnacentral:rRNA from 1 species